UACGUAGGGGGCUAGCGUUGUCCGGAAUCAUUGGGCGUAAAGCGCGUGUAGGCGGCCCGGUAAGUCCGCUGUGAAAGUCGGGGGCUCAACCCUCGGAUGCCGGUGGAUACUGUCGGGCUCGAGUACGGAAGAGGCGAGUGGAAUUCCUGGUGUAGCGGGUGAAAAUGCGCAGAUAUCAGGAAGAACACCCGUGGCGCAAAGGGCGGCUCCUCUGGGGACGGUACUGACGCUGAGACGCGAAAGCGUGGGGAGCGAACAG
rnacentral:rRNA from 1 species